GGAGAGAUGGCGAAGUGGCUUAACGCGAUAGGUUGCAACCCUAUUAUUCGUGAGUUUGAAUCUCACUCUCUCCUCCA
rnacentral:tRNA from 3 species